UGGCAAUGGCGGAGGGGCAACACCGGUUCCCAUUCCGAACACACAGGUAAAGUCCUCCAGCGCUGAUGGUACUGAGGUGGAGACGCCUUGGGAGAGUAAGUCGCUGCCGGGU
rnacentral:rRNA from 1 species